rnacentral:rRNA from 1 species
UACGGAGGUGGCAAGCGUUGUUCGGAGUUAUUGGGCGUAAAGGGCGUGUAGGCGGCUCAUCAAGUCUGGUGUGAAAACGCAGGGCUUAACCUUGCGGAUGCGCUGGAAACUGGUGGGCUUGAGUUCUUGAGGGGAAGCUGGAAUUCCAGGUGUAGGGGUGAAAUCUGUAGAUAUCUGGAAGAACACCGGUGGCGAAGGCGAGCUUCUAUCAGAGGACUGACGCUGAGGCGCGAAAGCGUGGGGAGCAAAC